rnacentral:rRNA from 1 species
GACGAAGGGGGCUAGCGUUGUUCGGAAUUACUGGGCGUAAAGCGCGCGCAGGCGGCGGUGCUGGCCCGGCGUGAAAGCCCCCGGCUCAACCGGGGAGAGUCGUCGGGGACCGCACCGCGUUGAGGGCGGUAGGGGCUGGUGGAAUGCCUGGUGUAGUGGUGAAAUGCGUGAGAGAUCAGGCAGAACACCUGGGGCGAAGGCGGCCAGCUGGGCCGUCCCUGACGCUGAGGCGCGAAGGCGUGGGGAGCGAACGGG